UGGGGAAUAUUGCACAAUGGAGGGAACUCUGAUGCAGCGACGCCGCGUGAACGAAGAAGGCUUUCGAGUCGUAAAGUUCUUUUAUAUGGGAAGAUAAUGACGGUACCAUAAGAAAAAGCCCCGGCUAACUACGUGCCAGCAGCCGCGGUAAUACGUAGGGGGCUAGCGUUGUCCGGAAUCACUGGGCGUAAAGGGUUCGCAGGCGGAAAUGCAAGUCACGUGUAAAAGGCAGUAGCUUAACUACUGUAAGCAUUUGAAACUGCAUAUCUUGAGAAGAGUAGAGGUAAGUGGAAUUUUUAGUGUAGCGGUGAAAUGCGUAGAUAUUAAAAAGAAUACCGGUGGCGAAGGCGACUUACUGGGCUCAUUCUGACGCUGAGGAACGAAAGCGUGGGUAGCAAACAGG
rnacentral:rRNA from 1 species